GAUAGCUCCACACCAUUCCCAGGUCAAUGUUGGGCUCAACCUUGCGAACUGCGCCAAUGGCAGUGUCAUAGAUUCCGUGGUGCUGAGCCCAUUCAACAAAAGCAAUUGCACCUAGGCCUAGAAAGAUGAGAUGGUGGCCAAGAAUAAAAGUGAGCUUUUUGGGAUCAUCCCA
rnacentral:antisense_RNA from 1 species